GUGCCAGCAGCCGCGGUAAUACGGAGGGUGCAAGCGUUAAUCGGAAUUACUGGGCGUAAAGCGCACGCAGGCGGUUUGUUAAGUCAGAUGUGAAAUCCCCGGGCUCAACCUGGGAACUGCAUUUGAAACUGGCAAGCUAGAGUCUCGUAGAGGGGGGUAGAAUUCCAGGUGUAGCGGUGAAAUGCGUAGAGAUCUGGAGGAAUACCGGUGGCGAAGGCGGCCUCUUGCACGAAAGACUGACGCUCAGGUCAGAAAGCGUGGGGAAGCAAACAGGGAUUAGAUACCCUGGUAGUCC
rnacentral:rRNA from 1 species